UAGUCCACGCCGUAAACGAUGCGCACUAGGUAUGAGAGGCUCUGACGCCGAUCGUGCCGAAGCAAAAGUGGUAAGUGCGCCGCCUGGGGAGUACGGCCGCAAGGCUAAAACUCAAAGGAAUUGACGGGGGCUCACACAAGCGGUGGAGCAUGUGGAUUAAUUCGAAGCAACGCGAAGAACCUUACCUGGGCUUGACAUGUUUGGAUGCCCUUCUGGAAACAGGAGUAAGCUGCCUUCGGGUGAAACUUACACAGGUGCUGCAUGGCUGUCGUCAGCUCGUGCUGUGAAGUGUCGGGUUAAGUCCCAUAACGAGCGCAACCCCUAUCCUUAGUUGCCAGCGAGUAAUGUCGGGGACUCUAGGGAAACUGCCGGUGCAAACCGUGAGGAAGGUGGGGAUGACGUCAAAUCAUCACGGCCCUUACGUCCAGGGCUACACACGUGCUACAAUGGCGCAUACAAAGGGCAGCUACAUGGUGACAUGGUGCUAAUCUCU
rnacentral:rRNA from 1 species